rnacentral:lncRNA from 1 species
GUUGUCCUAGUUGGGCAGGCCAGACCAAUAAUAAUAAUAUCAAUGGUCAUGAUGCACAGCCCUAUGAUGCCUCUACCAAAUACUGAGCAGCAUCUGUCCAAAAGCUUUUUCCUACAUGAUCUUAUUGGGCCCACAUGUGUGAUUGUGCUUGUCCACUGAUUUCCUUCUAGCCAUGGAUGAAAGGGACUCCAAGCCUCAGUCCCCUUGCUGACACAUCAAGGGGCUCAUUCUUAUUAAUCAAUCUUCAGAAUUACAAAAAUUGGCUUAUCUUCUUGGAAAUGUCCUCUAGGACCACACCCUGAUAAUAAAAUGUCUGCCCAGGGAGAGAGUAGGGCUCAAGGAUCCUAUACAAACUCAGUGAACCACAAUGGUGGUACUGAACUUCUCAUCUCUAGGUAUUUGGAUUGGUUUGAUGAUCUUGGUUGAUGGCUAGAGAUGGGGGCUUUCCUUAGUAAGAGUAGACUAUCAUAUGUCAACAAAGUCUUGGCCAGUAGGGGAGGAAACUGGACCCACUAACAUCUAGGGACAAAUUGAAUUGAAAUAGGGUUUAACAUCUCAUUAAUACAAACAUUACACUUCCAAAGGAUUCCCAUUUCCAUUUACAAAGGAUAGUGAAGAACCACCAGAUAGAGAACACCAAGCUCCUUACAAGAUUCAUCAUGGAUCUCUCCUCUUAAUCUGCUCCAUUCUUUCACUCAAAGAUAGACACAUCAACAAUCAACAUGGCGAACCUCUUCUCUGGAAAUGAAUCCUCUAUAAAAAUUUCUUCAACUCAAACUUUAGGAUUUUUUAAUAAAGAAAGGUGAAAACAAAAAGCAUGCAUGACAAGCCUGGGAAAUAUCAUGAGAAAAAGUGUGUUGACUCGCAUAUACAAACCUACAAUCAGUAAACUACCUUAUAAAUCAUUUUGUUACUAGUGCUAAGUUGGUUCUGUGUUUUAUUUAGGAUAAAGAAUCUCCUUCCAAUGUAUUUUUUAUUUGUUAAUAUAACAUAUCUAUAGUUUUGUAGAUAGAAUGUUAAAUUCAUCUUAUAAAAUUGCAUAGCAGAUAAGAAGACUGCAGGAGGUGUCUAGUUACUAGCUUAUAUAAAAUAUCAUUGCUGAGCUUUAAGUGAUGCUUCUCACUGGAGGUCCUUCAAGAGAAGAUGUUUUUUGCCCAAUCAGCUUCUGUUGAAGGUACACAAGCUCUUGACACAGUGAGGACUAUUUUCUAACUAUAUUACUAAUAACAGUUCCCCUACACAAGGACAUAUCUGUCAGAUUAGUUUAAGUGUAGAAGUUGAAGGACCUCUUUGCACUCUGGCUAAACACAUUUAAUAAAACACCAUGGAAAUCAUGUGGACGGAUAACAGAAAACCUAAAUAACUUCUUCUCGAUAUAAGAGUUAGCUUAGAGGAGAUUCAAAAGCUUAAGUGGUUAAUUGGAACAAGAAUGUAAAAAAAAUAUAAAUAUAAAUAUAAAACAAAUAAAUAAUAAAGGGGGGGGUUCUCCCAGGAGAAGAUGUAUAGGAUUAAGUGAAGGCAUCUUCAUUUACAGAUUAUAUUCUUGACCUUCUUGACAUAAUAUGAAAUAAAAUGCAAACCUCAGUACUCAUAAGACUUACAUAUCACAUAUUGCUAAUGUGCCAUAAGAUUACAAUGCAUUUAAAAGCAACAAAAGGACUGAAUUAAAGAGGACAUAGACAUAUAAUCAACAAAUGCAAAUGGGUGCAUUCUGUGUUUUGAGAUCACUUCAAGAUAUAGACCUUAAUCUAAAGGCUCUUAACAUAUUGGUUAAACAAGAAAGAGUUUUGGUAUAUUUAACUCCCUGAUUAUUAACAUCUUUUCCUUCAGUCAUUAUGAAAUAUAACUAUAACAGGAUUGAACAAAUAAUUAUGUUUUAUUUUCAAUACAUAAUGAUAAAAUUUGUUUGCUUUUCUCCAUUAUGCACUUUCAUGCUUGGGGACCAGGAUGCUCCAACUAUUUUUGCCCUUUAUAAUACCCACUUCUUACUUCGGUAUCAUGAUUCAUAAUCACAUGAGGUACCUAACCUAGUUUGCUUUAACAUAUUAUUCUCGUGCAUUUAUGUUGUGAUAAGAAUUAUUGAGCAAAAAGCUUAAAACAUCAAAUAUCUUGAGUUCAAACCCUCUCUGAAAUGCAAGACAAAUGUAAGAACAGGCAUAUAUCAGAAGUUGCUCAAAAUGAUGGUGUUCUAAAGGCAAUCUGAGAAGUUCUUGUCAACUCUUAUCAAUCAUUUCUAUUCUUGGGUUCCUUAGCUCCCCAGUGAAAUUAAAAUCCAAUGUUGUUCAUUACUUUUGCCACUUAAAGUGACCAGUUAUUCUUGUACGUUUCUGUUCUUGGUCCAAAUAAAACAAUACUCCAAGGUCAAUCUUUCUUGAGAACAAAUUGCCAGCCUACAAAAUUUUAUCAUCCUAACACCAAGUUUAUUCCAACAUAUGAAUCUCAAAAAGAUUGGGGUGAAGAAAUGAAAGAACUAGAAGUGGGAAAAAAAAUACAGUUUAAAGGCAUCCAACCAAAGCAACCUUUCCCUUUCCAACGACCAAUCCCCCACUGCAGUAACCCAAAUUGGAUGUAUUGUACAAGCAAUGCGUGCAAAUUACUUUGUAUAUUCUAGACCUUCCACAGUUUGAAACUUUAUUAAAAUAUAUUGUGAGUUCUAUUAAAGAUCAAGAGACAGAAAUUUCUUGGAUCAUUUGAAAGGCCAAUGCAACAGUAGCACUAAAUCAAACACGGAUGGUCUCCUAAAUUCUAGGCAAUUUGACCACUUUUUUGACAUAUUUUAAUUGUCUUUCAACUUUAGAUGCUUCAAUCUUGUGCAUGAUGACAUAUGGGAACAGGGCAGUAAUUUUUCAGCUAUAAGACAAGCAACAAACUCAUAACUUCUUUGUAAAAACAACUUGGCCUGUUUAAGGGAUUUUGGGUCUUUUUGCUUCUAAUGCCUUGUUUUACAGCUUAUUUUUAAAAUUUCAUUUCCUUGAUAAGGAUGGAGAAUGGUGAGGGAGAAUAUGGUGCUGGUUUCUCAGCUAUAAGAUCAGCAGCAAACUUCAAAUUUCUUCAUGAAAAUGAUGGACCUGUCUAAAAAGCCUUGGAUUUUUUUCUUCUUAUGUCUAGUUUCAAUGUCUUCUUUUUUUCACUAAAAUUAAGAGAGAGAGGGUGUGAGAGAGAAAGAGAUUGGUACGUUUAAUUUUCCUACAGGAUGGAUCAACCACACCCUCAUACUUCUAAUUCUACUUUUACCCAUUCAAAUGUUUUUUCUGUUGCAUAAUGGCACCAUGUCCCCAUACUCUUCAUCUAGCAUCACCAAGAAGGAUCAUCAGAUCCGAUGACUGAUUUGUUCUCAUCAGUCAGUUCCUAACUUCCUAUAAUAUCUAAUUAGAGAGAAAUGAAAUCAGCCACUAAAAAUUAUUCCAACAACCCUGCAGAAGAUAACUAAUAUUCCCACAUUUCCCCUUAUCUUGUGUUAUUCAUCUUCUGGAAUUUUCAAUAAAUUUACCAAUUAGUAUUUUAAAAGAUAGUCCAACCAUUUCACACUUCCUUCCUGUCUAUUGUUGUGUUUCAUAGUUGAAAAAAAUGAAGAUGGCAGAGGGAUGAAGUAGUGAUCUGUAUCUGCCUGAAUAAACUGCUUAUACUCCCAAGAAAAUGGGUUAGUCACUAGUAGUUAACAAGAUGGGGGCAACGAAUAAUCAGCGAUGGGCUGAUACUAAAGUUUAGUAUUAAAGAAUGAUCAUGCAAGAAAAUAGUUUCAUCAAUAGUAGUUUCAGCGAUGUUAACACAAGGGUCCGAAUCCUACUCAACCAGUGAUAAAGCUGCCAAAAGCCCCGACUUCUUAAAGGAACCUUUUGUGAAAUAACGAUGGUGGAAUCCCCUUCUACUGGGAGGUCACCAAAUAAUCAAGCCUUCCAAGAGCACUAAAAGCUCAUCCUCAAUGGUCAUCACGUUUCCUACUGGUGUGGGAAAAAGAUGCACCAUCUCUCCCCCAUGUUAUCUUAUCACACUCCAAUGCCCAACCAACCUGAGUUUCCCAAAUCACAACCAUCAAUCUAUAAAACUAUCACUGGGAAGAGGAUCCCAGCAACAAAUCACAGGCACUUCUUCAACCGUGAGAAAUGACUCUCCAGUCCACAGAGAUGAUGUAAAGCAGAAUGCCAUAAAACGCCCUUCUUAGCACAAUCUUCUAGAGAGAGGUUAAAAAAAUACUCCCUCAAAUUUCAUUUAUUGAAUGUCUUUUAUCCUCCUAGAUCCUACUUCACCCAAAUCAUGGCAAGAUGAGCACGCCACAGAAAACACUCUACUCAUCUACUCCUAUGAAAUCCUCAAAAGAUUUAAAAAUUCUAUGAAUAUGCUUAGGUCACCACAGAAUACCGUCAAAGAAAGAACCAUAGACAAGUUAGGAUUUUUUCAAAAUACAAUUAAUUGUUAGGUGUUUGCACAAUAAGAAUUCUAGAGACGUAAAUAUAAAAUUACUUUUAAAAUGAUACAAUUCAUUAUUCGAAUGAAAACAUGAAAUCUAGCAAUGCUUCAUGAAUGAUAAUGGUAGCAUUGCUUCAUUUGAGUUAUGGUAAAACAUGAAGAGUCAUAUCCUUUCAGUGAAUAUAUAUUAAAAUAAAUAUUGAAUUACUGAUAUGUAUGCAUAUAUAUGCACAUGCAUACACACAAAAAUAUAUUACUUUCUAUCUAGUUUUAUCUUCGUCUUUCACUUCAACUUGGGCUCUGAUAACUUCUUUUUUUUCCCGGGAUUGCAGUCUCGGAGACAGAGUCGUGAGAGGGCUUUGCAUCCUAGGACAUUAUUUCCAAGAGUCCAACUGCAAUAGUAGGGAAAUAUUUGUCUUUAACAUAGUGUCUUAAUUGGCAUGCCUAGCCAAUUUUUCUUCCAUCUCUUUGUUUCUUUAUCCAAUUUUGUCUCUUCUCAUAUUAUUUCCAAGAAGACAGAGGUCAAAAGAAUAAGGCAAUGAUGUAACAAAUUGUCAGUUGUUUCUCUAUUUUUCAAAUAGAAAGAACAUCCAUUAGGGCAGAGGGCAUCUUGAAUUUCAAGCGAUGUGCGAAAAGGUCUUUACAAUUGGCCAAAUAACAAAAGGAAUGAUCCUAUUGAGCUGUGCAUGUGUGAAAACAUAAGGAAUUGGCUAAUACCUCCUUAUUCAUUGUGAGGAUCUAUUGUAGCUUGUGGUUUCUUUAGCUUUAGUGUCUCUUUUGUGAAGCAGAGUCACUGAAGGAGAUUCUAUGUAGCUGGCAUGUCUUUGAAGGAAAAAAGAGGGGGAAAUACAGAGGAUUACCCCUUUGAGUUUAUUCAGAAUGUUUGGAAUCGACAA